rnacentral:antisense_RNA from 1 species
GGCAGAGAGAGGAAAACACGCGCGCGCACACACGGUGAUAUCUUGCGGGUGAUGAAUAUGAUAAUUGGACAAGGGACGAGAGAACCAUUCUCUGCUUUCAAUAGGACAGAAGAGCUCCUUGGCACUGGAUGCCUCCGGGUCUGGUUGAGAGAGGAAUGGUUAGGAGACUGUUCUGAGGAUACGCAGACAUCAUCCAAAGCUUCCUACAUUCAGAUGAGGACAGAGGUUGGGCCAGAGCUUUGUAUGCUUGUUACCUAAGGAUGGUUCUGACCAUGUAAGCAGAUCACAGAAGAGCCAGCCUUGACAAUGUGCUGUUGGCAACCU